CUGGGACUUGAAGCAAUAGUGCAAUACAGCUAGAAGCUUAAUAUCAUAACUAACCAACCAAUCGUGUUUAUCAAGUUCUGAUAAAUCAAACAAGGAAACAAAAACUACACUGACAAUACACAUUCUAAGGUAGCCUGUACUCAAAUUAAUUGCGCAAGUCAAUCACUUAACAAUAUGGACCCAAGGGCUGAUGGCCUGAUGCCCAUACAAACCAG
rnacentral:misc_RNA from 1 species